AUUGAACGCUGGCGGCAGGCCUAACACACGCAAGUCGAGCGAGCGGCGGACGGGUGAGUAAUGUAUGGGGACUGCCCGAUAGAGGGGGAUAACUACUGGAACCGGUGGCUCAUACCACAUACUAUCGGAUAACCCAUAUGGGAUUAGCUAGUAGGUUGGGUAAAGGCUCACCUAGGCGACGAUUUCUAGCUGGUAUGAGAGGAUGAUCAUCCAAACGAGGACGGAGACAAGGCCCAGAUUCCUACGGAGGCAGCAGUGGGGAAGAUUGCACAAUGGGCGCAAGCCUUAGGCAGCCAUGCCGCGUGUAUGAAGAAGGCGUUAGGGUUGGAAAGUACGUUCAGCGGGGAGGCGUUACCCGCAGAAGAAGCACCGGCUAACUCCGUGCCAGCAGCCGCGGUAAUAC
rnacentral:rRNA from 1 species